CUCGCGGCCCGGGUUCCUAUAAAGACCUCACACCCGGGGACAAAGCGUACCCUCCAUCCCGGCGCAGACCGACCUUCCGUCCGCCCGCCCGCAGAACAGGUCUCGAGAGCCACCCCAGCUCUUCCCACUGACCCACCUCACACCACAUCAGCAGACAUGAUCAUCAGACUCGGCAGGCUGACACCUGGGUACUUCCGCCUCCUCCAGAGGCAAGUUGCUGGUGAGGUGCAGACGCAGCCGCAAGACCGUGCUGUCAACCAGAUAGCCAUGAUGCUGGCCAUCAUGGGCCUGAGUUUGUCCUACUACAGUGCCAAACAGAUGACGGAGAAGGUCCAGGUCCAGCCUGCACCCUGAAGAAGCUUGACUACUAUGAUCGUGGAGAUAAUGGAUGAGCCAAUGAGAAGUGAAGUAGAUGGAGUGAGGAAGCAGGAAGCACGGCAGUAUCUUCCAGGACCUCACUUUUCUCACCUGACAGUCAUAGUCACACUCGGACACUGAAUUUCUGGUAUCCCUCACUCACCAUGCGCAGAGAUUUCAGGGCUGCUGCUAAGUGUUUUCUAUACUUUCUGUUAAGACUUUGAGGUAUUUGUGGGGGUUGGCUCAGUCGGGGUUGUGGAUAGGACUGGUUUGAAUGGGUGGUCAAAGCCAGCUGACUGUGAUUUUGGGUCUGACCAUUAGCCGUUACAAAGGUACAUGCUUGCAACAUGUCAGUACUGUUCUAAGCUACAAAACGGGGAAAAAACUAAAACUCUUGUAUAAACGUGAAUUUUGCCAGUACUCAAAGCCUGUCCAAAUAGGGUUAAAUAAUGUUUAGUAAUAUGAACAGUAAUGCCUUUUUAAGGGAAAGCAGACUGCAAUUGAGAUGUACCUUGUAUUGAAGUGAUGGCAGGCCCAGAACAUGGUUAAAGGGGGAUUAAAAGUAAGCGCAACCCUU